rnacentral:rRNA from 1 species
GACGAACGCUGGCGGCGUGCCUAAUACAUGCAAGUCGAACGAGUGGCGGACGGGUGACUAAUGUCUGGGAAACUGCCUGAUGGAGGGGGAUAACUACUGGAAACGGUAGCUAAUACCGCAUACCAUCAGAUGUGCCCAGAUGGGAUUAGCUUGUUGGUGGGGUAACGGCUCACCAAGGCGACGAUCCCUAGCUGGUCUGAGAGGAUGACCAGCCACACCGGAGCAGAGGCACGGUCCAGACUCCUACGGGAGGCAGCAGUGGGGAAUAUUGCACAAUGGGCGCAAGCCUGAAGCAGCCAUGCCGCGUGUAUGAAGAAGGCCUUCGGGUUGUAAAGUACUUUCAGCGGGGAGGCGUUACCCGCAGAAGAAGCACCGGCUAACGCCGUGCCAGCAGCCGCGGUAAUUC